UUAUAAUCUGGCACCUUCGGUGUCCGAGUUGUAAUCUCUAGAAGUGUUUUCCGCGUUGGACCGCACACAAGUCUGUUGGAAUACAGCGGCAUAGUGGUGAGACCCCCGUAUAUGGUGCGGACGCCCAACGCUUUGUGAUACACUUUCGAAGAGUCGAGUUGUUUGGGAAUGCAGCUCAAAUUGGGUGGUAAAUUCCAUCUAAAGCUAAAUAUUGGCGAGAGACCGAUAGCGAACAAGUACCGUGAGGGAAAGAUGAAAAGCACUUUGGAAAGAGAGUUAACAGUACGUGAAAUUGUUGGAAGGGAAACGCUUGAAGUCAGACUUGCUUGCCGAGCAAUCGGUUUGCAGGCCAGCAUCAGUUUUCCGGGGUGGAUAAUGGUAGAGAGAAGGUAGCAGUUUCGGCUGUGUUAUAGCUCUCUGCUGGAUACACCUUGGGGGACUGAGGAACGCAGUGUGCCUUACGGCGGAUU
rnacentral:rRNA from 2 species